CCACGUGGCCCUCAAUUUCCCCUUAAAUCCAUCUCCACCGCCAUCACUUGAUCAUUUUAUUUGUUCUUCCUUUUUCUUUCUUUUUCUUUUCUUUUUGCUCUGUUCUGGGCUGAGGGGAAAACGAGGGAAACAGAGCUUGAGAGAACGAGAGAGAGAGAGAGAGAGAAGUUGAGAGAUCGGGACGAGCGUUGAGCAAGAGAGAGGCUAAGCUCGAGAUAAAAGUUAGGGAAGCGGAAGAAGAUGGACGAAUGGAACAAGGUUGGCCUAAGGCUAUAUUUAUGAUUAAUAGGAGCUGAGGACAUCGAUGGUGCACCCAAAAGGUGAAGUCGGUGAACCAUUUUUGGUAUUAGAUAAGCUUCUAGCUGCGCGGAAGAAACACUUUUUGAUAUCGGGGAUUAGCUCGGAGAACUAGGUAGGGACCUUAAUUAUUUGAUAGAUACCCUUUUUGGUAUAGAAUGGAUUUGAAAAUGUUACGACCUGAAAUUUUGUUUAGUUGUAUUAUUGAUAUGGGUGCGAAAAAGAAAAUCUCUCUUUUGAGAUGUACAUACAUAUUAGAGCUUACCAGGUUGGUUUUAUAUUUUUUUGGGAAUUUUAUGGAAAGGCAGUUUUAGAUUAAUAGUUAUGUGGUAAUGGAUAUCGAGAAAAGAUAGGGAAAAUCCAACUGAAAUUUCGGGUCGUGACA